GUCCACGCCCUAAACGAUGAUCACUAGUUGUUCGGAAAGGUUACUUUCUGAGUAACGUAGCUAACGCGUGAAGUGAUCCGCCUGGGGAGUACGGUCGCAAGAUUAAAACUCAAAGGAAUUGACGGGGACCCGCACAAGCGGUGGAUGAUGUUGAUUAAUUCGAUGCAACGCGAAAACCUUACCUACCCUUGACAUGCUUGGAAGAUCGCAGAGAUGUGAUUGUGCCUUCGGGAACCAAGACACAGGUGCUGCAUGGCUGUCGU
rnacentral:rRNA from 1 species